rnacentral:misc_RNA from 1 species
GGAAGUAAAAGUCGUAGCAAGGUUUCUGUAGGUGAACCUGCGGAAGGAUCAUUAUUGUAUAACCGAGGUGCGAGGGCUGUCGCUGACCCGAAAGGUCGUGCACGCCCGAGUGCCCUCACACACAUCCAUCUCACCCCUAUGUGCACCACCGCGUGGGUCCCCCUUUGGCUUGUUCGGAGGGGGGCUUACGUUUUCACACAAACUUUGUAUGCAGUGUAGAAUGUAUUUUUUGUUUUUGCGAUCACGCAAUCAAUACAACUUUCAACAACGGAUCUCUUGGCUCUC